rnacentral:rRNA from 1 species
GCUGGCGGCGUGCCUAACACAUGCAAGUCGAACGUGAAGGGUGAGACAAAUACUUCGGUAGAUGGAUUACCUGGAAAGUGGCGAACGGGUGAGUAACACGUAGAUAACCUGCCUCGAAGCGGGGGAUAACCAUUGGAAACGGUGGCUAAUACCGCAUGCAUCCACAUUAACGGGAGUUGGAGUGGAUAAAGUUGAGGCGCUUCGAGAGGGGUCUGCGUCCGAUUAGCUAGUUGGUGAGGUAAAGGCUCACCAAGGCUGAGAUCGGUAGCUGUUCUGAGAGGAAGAUCAGCCACACGGGAACUGAGACACGGUCCCGACUCCUACGGGGGGCAGCAGUGAGGAAUAUUGCACAAUGGGGGGAACCCUGAUGCAGCAACGCCGCGUGAAGGAUGAAGGUCCUUGGAUUGUAAACUUCUUUUAUCGGGGAAGAGGAAGGACGGUACCCGGUGAAUAAGUCACGGCUAACUAC